GCGCCAGUGGUGUAAUGGCGUAGAGCAUUUUAACAGGAGAUGCGGGUUCAAGUCCCGCCUGGCGCU
rnacentral:tRNA from 1 species